rnacentral:rRNA from 1 species
UGCAAGUCGAACGAAGGCUUCGGCCUUAGUGGCGCACGGGUGCGUAACGCGUGGGAAUCUGCCCUUGGGUUCGGAAUAACAGCGAGAAAUUGCUGCUAAUACCGGAUGAUGUCGCGAGACCAAAGAUUUAUCGCCUGAGGAUGAGCCCGCGUUGGAUUAGGUAGUUGGUGGGGUAAAGGCCUACCAAGCCGACGAUCCAUAGCUGGUCUGAGAGGAUGAUCAGCCACACUGGGACCGAGACACGGCCCAGACUCCUACGGGAGGCAGCAGUGGGGAAUAUUGGACAAUGGGCGAAAGCCUGAUCCAGCAAUGCCGCGUGAGUGAUGAAGGCCUUAGGGUUGUAAAGCUCUUUUACCCGGGAUGAUAAUGACAGUACCGGGAGAAUAAGCUCCGGCUAACUCCGUGCCAGCAGCCGCGGUAAUACGGAGGGAGCUAGCGUUGUUCGGAAUUACUGGGCGUAAAGCGCACGUAGGCGGCUUUGUAAGUCAGGGGUGAAAGCCUGGAGCUCAACUCCAGAACUGCCUUUGAGACUGCAUCGCUUGAAUCCGGGAGAGGUGGGUGGAAUUCCGAGUGUAGAGGUGAAAUUCGUAGAUAUUCGGAAGAACACCAGUGGCGAAGGCGGCUCACU